CACCUACUCCCUCCGUCUCAUAUUAAGUGACUUUUUAUGACAUGUAUCUAAACGUUUUUAGGCAUAGAUACAUUCAUAUUUGGACAAAUUUGAGUCACUUAGCAUGGGACGGAGGGAGUAUUAC
rfam:Brachypodium distachyon strain Bd21 chromosome 3, whole genome shotgun sequence.